CCUACGGGAGGCAGCAGUCGGGAAUAUUGCGCAAUGGAGGAAACUCUGACGCAGUGACGCCGCGUGCAGGAAGAGGGUUUUCGGAUUGUAAACUGCUUUAGUCAGGGCAGAAACAAGACAGUACCUGUAAGAUAAGCUCCGGCUAACUACGUGCCAGCACCGGCGGUAAUACGGAGGGAGCAAGCGUUACCCGGAUUUAUUGGGUGGAAAGGGUGCGUAGACGGGAAGUCAAGUUGGUUGUGAAAUCCAUCGGCUUAACUGAGGAACUGCAACGAAAACUAACGUUCUAGAGUGCUGGAGAGGAAAGGGGAAUUCCUAGUGUAGCGGUGAAAUGCGUAGAUAUUAGGAGGAACACCAGUGGCGAAGGCGCUUUUCUGGACAGUAACUGACGUUGAGGCACGAAAGUGAGGGGAGCAAAUGGGAUUAGAUACCCUAGUAGUC
rnacentral:rRNA from 1 species